rnacentral:rRNA from 1 species
CCUACGGGAGGCUGCAGUGAGGAAUAUUGGUCAAUGGGCGCGAGCCUGAACCAGCCAAGUCGCGUGAAGGAUGACGGUCCUAUGGAUUGUAAACUUCUUUUGUGCAGGAAUAAAGUGAGGAACGUGUUCCUUUUUGUAUGUACUGUACGAAUAAGCAUCGGCUAACUCCGUGCCAGCAGCCGCGGUAAUACGGAGGAUGCGAGCGUUAUUCGGAUUUAUGGGGUUUAAAGGGUGCUUAGACGUCAUGAUUGAAAGUUUGCAGCUUAACUGUAAGAUUGCCAUUGAAACUGUUAGUCUUGAGUGCAAAUGAGGUAGGCGGAAUGUGUUGUGUAGCGGUGAAAUGCUUAGAUAUAACACAGAACUCCGAUUGCGAAGGCAGCUUACUGGGAUGCAACUGACGCUGAUGCACGAAAGCGUGGGUAUCAAACAGGAUUAGAUACCCUGGUAGUC